AGUUUAAACUUUUUGCGCGCACUAAUACACGCGCGCAUGCACACGCAAUUGCGCAAGUGCAGGACAGAGCGCGUGAAAAUAUGCGGCGGCAACUGUCGAAAACAUAUCCGCGUUUAAUGCACGCUAACAGGUGCCCCAACACCUGACGGAGACCUUGUUAGACCGGGCGACGUCUGAGCCGGUAUCUCAUGUGGUUCAUUGUCUCUCAUGAUAUGAGAGAUGACAGGGGGAAGAGGGAAACUAGGAGAUGUGGUGGAACAGUGAGAGGUGGAAGGCGGGUCAGGCACCUGUUGAGAGAGAGGCUGAAGGGGAGACGAGGAGAGGCUGUGGGAGCAAAGCGUUUCUUGGUUUCUCUGUUCUUCUUGGCUGUCUGAGCCAAACAUAAAGAUGUUGGACACUCCUAAACAACAUACAAAUGACAAUGACACACAUUUGCUGCCUCAAGGUACCUUGCAGUGUUUGCAGUAGCAGCAGGAGUAAUGGAGGUCUUUGCAGGGCUCGUCACCUCUGAGUCCUCAUCUUCAUUCUCACUGGAGAACACGCGGGCAUAUCUACAGAAGCACUUAGUUCAGAGUUUAAUAUUGCAAUGAUUAAAGUACAGCACAGAAAAUGUUUGUUGUAGGUUUUAAGGUAAAGUAAAUACACAAUCUUACAGUGCAUGUUUAUGAUCAUCUUUGUUGUAGCUACGCUGCUCCCAGUUGCUGUGUCUUCUUCUACUUCUGUAAGCACCUCUCAGUCUCUUUGCUGAGGUGGUGUCACCUGAGAGAUACACAUCAAUGAUCACUAGAACACCCUCCUGCCAUUGCUGGUUCCAGAAAGGAUGAGAAAAAGUCAUCAUUCUUUGACAGAAAUUCCUAAUGGGGUGAACUAACCUCCAAUGAGCAUGACGCUGAUGGAGAAAAUCUUCUCAGAGUUGGUGUUUGGUGAGACGUUGCCAAAGCCUACGCUGGUCAAACUGCUGAAGGGCUUCCCCAGCUGAUCACCCAGAGCGUCCAACCAGCCAAUCCCAGCAGACGUUGACCGCUCCACGCUACCUAUGGCAUACCUAGGGCCAACCAGUGGGCAAUGAGAGCGAAAGUGCACAUCAGGAGGAAGAGGACAGCUGUGCCAUACUCGGAGUAGCGGUCUAACUUCCUGGCCACGCGAACCAGUCGCAGUAAUCGAGCUGUCUUCAAUGAGGAGGUCAAAGGGAAUGGCCGCCACCAAGUCGAUAAGGAACCACCCUUUGAAGUAGUGAACUGCAAUCCGAGUAGACUGGCUGACCACCUUGACAGACAACACAAAGCAAUAAGUGUCAUGUGACAUCACGUAUCAUUGGACUCAAAGUUUGGUGUCUGUGAUGGGCAGCUGCGGAUCCAACCAUCCUGCCUGCAUCCAGUCCCUGGUCCUACCAUCCUGCCUGUGCUCUGUUGUUGCUUGUUGUUGCUUGUUGCUGUUGCUGUGCUUUUCUAUCUCUCUAUCCUCUCACCCCAACCGGUCGAGGCAGAUGGCCGCCCACAUCCAGUCUGGUUCUGCUGGAGGUUUCUUCCUCGUUAGAGAGGGAGUUUUUCCUCUCCACUGUUGCUGUCAAAUUAAAUGCUUGCUGUAUGUGGGAUUUGUUGGGUUUAGUUGUGUGAGGUUUUAAACCUUACUUUGUAAAGUGCCUUGAAAUAACUUUGUUGUGAUUUGGCGCUAUAUAAAUAAAAUUGAAUUGAA